rnacentral:rRNA from 1 species
UACGUAGGCAGCGAGCGUUGUUCGGAGUUACUGGGCGUAAAGGGUGUGUAGGCGGUUGUUUAAGUUUGGUGUGAAAUCUCCCGGCUCAACUGGGAGGGUGCGCCGAAUACUGAAUGACUUCGAGUGCGGGAGAGGAAAGUGGAAUUCCUGGUGUAGCGGUGAAAUGCGUAGAUAUUAGGAAGAACACCGGUGGCGAAGGCGGCCAUCUGGCUCGGUACUGACGCUCAGGCGCGAAAGCGUGGGGAGCAAACAGG